rnacentral:sRNA from 1 species
AUGUGCUUCUUGAUAGUGUAUGCGGUCCUCCAAAACUUCUCAAGCAUCUUGAGGGAGAGUGGGUUGUACGCAGACUUGGAGGUGCUGAUGAACCCAAAGCCCUUCGUUCUCUACGGGGACCCCGCCUACCCUCACCGAGAGCUGCUGCAACGCCCCUUUGGGGGUGCGAGCCUCACUGUGGGGCAGGCUACAUUUAAUUACAAGAUGAGCCGAGUCCGCCAAUCAGUUGAGUGGGGCUUUGGGAAAGUGGCCACUGAAUUCGCUUUUCUUGAUUACAAAAAAAAUCAAAAGUUGUUUCUUCAGCAGUUGCCCAUCAUGUACAAGGUAGGUUUCACUCGAUUUUGCGAGAACGGAAAAAUAAGCGGCGUCCAUAAGGCCUUAUUUAGGAACUGCAAUCCUUCGAAUGUGGCCGACUUCGAGCGUAGGACGGUGUACAAGGUGUUUUGGAGGCUAUUACGACGCCGAGAUCCCCAAACUGACGGCACGAACUUAAGGUGCACAAUCGUGGCUCAUUCAACGUCAAUCCAUGCAAGAACCCAAGAGGAAAUGGCAACUGAGCUGCCCAGGCGGGAACAUGCAGCUGAGGCAUCUGCAAGUUCACACAAAGCUGCACCUCCCAAAAAGGACUAUACUGCAGCCCAGCUUCCAGUUGAUGCGGGAGGCACUAUAGGGCCCUACUGCCUAACACUUGCUGACGAGGACACCCUUGCGAAGAAUGAGAUUGUGGAUCCUACCAUCGGCCUCCAGAAUAAGGGUGGAAUGACAAGGUGUGCACGUCAACCAGGAAUCCGGGCAUCAUGCAGAAGGCAGAGUGCGACUCCAUGUUUUGCAAGAUUGCUGCUGCUCCCAUACGGCCAGUGGAAGUGCUUUUGGAGAGGUCGGUGACCGGCACCCUCUCCAACAAGGCAAAGGCAGCGGGGCAAGAGAAGGUGUUUGCCUCACUCACUCCUCACAAGGUGCAGGCUUACAGUCGCUGCUUUUGGCUACACCUGAGGGAGAAGAGGUACCGCCAGGCUGAAAGGGCAGCCCGGCACCAGAAGAUACGGCGGUACUUGUCAGAAAAGCUGUCCGAUCUCAGGAGAAAUCGUUAAAAAGGCUCAUCCCUUUACUGCCUGUCCUCCCUCGAUGCGCGGUCCCACCACGGACUGCCCAUGCUGUUGCAGGGCUGCCAUCACUUGCACCCCAUGUUGUAGCCUUUUUACCCUUUUCUUUAUAUUAAUUUAGCUUAAUUUAUAUAUUGCAAAUACUAUUGAAAUCGAACAAAGGUACUAUUGCAGCCAAUACAAGCUGAAAUGCCACUACGCGUGGCACGCAAUAAUAUGAGAGUAGUCUCUCAGAUUGUUCAGCAAACCGCGGUAUGCGCUGAGGUAGAGAGAAAUCGCUUCUUGUGCUCGUUGGACCGCUAUGCCGUUCCGUGUCAAUUUCCAGCUCAUAGCGGCGCAAUGAGUGCAAGAAGCAACCUGCCUAAACCUCAGCAAACACAGGUUCGCUGAAAAAUCCAACAGGGGGCUGUGAUAGUACCACAUGCCAUGCGUCAUGGCAUUUCAACUAAUAUUGGACACGAUAGUACGUCCUCAAAUGUUUCCGGUUUUUCUGUACCACCUUGCCAUUCCUCCCAG